UUCCAUAAAAAUAAUAAUACUAAAUCUUAUUUAAACAUAAAUUUUAAAAUAAAUAUAAAAAUCUAUAUAUAUAUAUAUAUAUAUAUCAUAUCAUAUCCUAUCAUAUUUGUUUUACAAUAAUUUACUGCUCAAAGGACAAAAUAAAUAACGAAACCGAAACAGCAAACAAAGUGGAUCCAUAUGAUAAAACACAACAAAUUAGAGGACAAACAUUACAUAAUUAAGAAUCGCAGGUUUCAUUUUCACCCCAUAAAUAAAUUACAUCAAGAGAUUAUAGCAAAGAAGAAGCUAUUUUUAUGCGGAAGCCAAACCCCAAGAAUCAAGAAGUGAAGAAGAAGAUGGGGUGAAGAAAUAGGUGAAGAAGCUUGAAGCAGGCACAGGAGAAGGAGACGAACACCACCCCGUACGCGAUCCUCAGCCCCAUUUUUUCUUUCUCUGGAUCUGAGAUCUGCUUCCCUUCCAAAUUCACGAUCAAGAGAGAGAGAAAAGGACAGCAAGUGGAUAAGGGAGUAUACUUUGUUUUCGGGAAUUGUUUUAGAAAUGCUUGCAAUCUGGGGAAUGCGUGUUUGGUUUAUAAAAGCGAUUGAAGGAGCCACGUGGGUAAUUUGAUUGGAUAUGUUACGUGUGGGCCUUUGCCACACUGCAUCUAGUUUGGUUAAUGCUCAUGCCAUGACUCAACCAAAGCAUGAUUUUUC
rnacentral:lncRNA from 1 species